rnacentral:rRNA from 1 species
GACGAACCGUACAAACGUUAUUCGGAAUCACUGGGCUUAAAGGGUGCGUAGGCGGCUUUGCAAGUCGGGUGUGAAAGCCCUCGGCUCAACCGAGGAAUAGCGCCCGAAACUGCCGAGCUUGAGGGACACAGAGGUAAGCGGAACUAAGGGUGGAGCGGUGAAAUGCGUUGAUAUCCUUAGGAACACCAGAAGCGAAGGCGGCUUACUGGGUGUCUUCUGACGCUGAGGCACGAAAGCCAGGGGAGCGAACGGG